UGACAUUUGUGGAAAUUAAGAAGUGGGAGAAAAGAAGUAUAUACUCAUCAUGUCUGGUAGGAAACUUGUACCAUGAUGCUGUGUAAUUAUUAUAUGUUGAAUAUGAUCCCCAAUUGUUUCAUGCUUUCAGAAGAAAACACUUCAUGGGGUCAGCUUUGUAUAUGGUUGGUUGGUACUGCUUAUGGAAGGGUUCAUAUAAACACUCUCUUCUCUUUGACUCUAUCUUUCCACUUCCUACACCCCUGGCCUAUUUUCUAAUAUUCUGUUCUUCCUACCCCUACUAAUACAU